rnacentral:tRNA from 1 species
GGGCUGUAGCUUAGAGGCAGAGCGCUUGCCUAGCAUGUGUGAGGUACUGAGUUCAAUUUUCAGUAUCACA